rnacentral:rRNA from 1 species
CCUGGGGGCGGCAGCAGGGGAUAAUAUUCCACAAUGGGAAAUACCAUGAUGCAGCGACGCCGGAAAGAGAAGAUCUUUUGAUGAUAAAAAUGUUUUUCGGGGAGAACAAUAAUGACGUNCCAACGNNANGCCNNAUUUNC